UGAGAGAGAUCUGCUUCUACUUUCUCUUCUUCAUUCAUUUUCUCUUUCCCUUUCUGUUCCUCAUCAGUUCGCAUCCUAAUGGUAAGAAAAAAAUUAGGAAUUUGAUAUGAGAAAAUUUCGUGGAGAUAAAGUUAAUGUAGUUGCUGUUGUUAUUUGGGUUUAGAAAAGGGAAGAAAUUUGGAUUCAUACUGAUUACAGGUUUUUGACAGAAUUAGAAGAUUAAAGUUCAAGUUCAAAUGAUAGUAAAGCAUUGGUUGUCUUUAAUUAUUGUCAAUCCCAACUAUCAAUUUGAAUUGGGAAAUUUAUUAAGGUUUACCAACUAUAGGAACAGAGUUCUCCAUGUAAAAUUUGGGGCUCCUCCAAAGGUCUGUUUACAAAUAGUAUUCUGGUAGAUGGGUUGUGGUUCGCCUUGAAUAUGCAGAUUAAAAGGCCAUAAAAGGAGCUCAGUGCAAUAAGAACAGAUGGAUCUCUGGACCACCGCAAAAUCGUACCACAAGUAUUUGAUGAAAAGCCCGAGAGAAGAGGAAAGGCGGUAGUUCAUACUAUCUCUGUAAAAAUGACGAACUACGGUCGCGCUUGAUCCCUUCGAGCAACGGAGAGGGUACGUAGGCAGCCACUAUGCGGUUCAGCACACUUCUACGAGGUUGUUCAUAUCGUCUGGAAAGAGUUGGUUGCUGCUUGGCAGUUCAUACCAUCCAUUCGGAGAUGAUUGCAACCUUGACAAUACAUAUACUUGGUAAGAGGUAGUUGCAGUACUGACUGUUCAUACUACCUAGUGAAGAGGUGAUAGUUGUCUUUCUGAGAUAAUUCAUAUCAUUUGAUAAUUGUCCAUCCUUGAGACAAGAGAUGAUUAUUACCGUUCGAGAUAAUUCAUAUCAUCUGUCUCGGCUUGUGAGUUAAGCAAUGGUUAUUAUCAUGAGAGACAACUUACGUGAUAUGAGAGGGAUGAUUGGUGCAUAUGAUGGUAGUACAUACCGUCGACCUAAAGAUGAUUGCUAGCUCUUUGAGCAGUUUAUAUCAUCCGAGUAAGAUAGUCGGUUGAGCUUGAAAGAGUACUGUGAAUUGCCAGGCCAGAAAUGGCACCCCACCUACGGGUGGCAACCCGGAAGACCGUUAGCUGUAACGGUGGCUGGUAUCGGACUACCCUGACAUUGAAUUACCGUUUGUUUGAUAACGGCGCGUUCUGUCAGGCCUUAAUUGGCACCCCACCUACGGGUGGCAACCCAGAAGACCGUUUGUUUGAUAACGGUGGCUGGUAUCGGACUACUCUAACAAGAGACAUUGUGUCUUCACAGUAAAGAUAAUGGAAAUCCAUUGUCGGUUUAAAUGACCAUUCGAAAUUUUGGUUUCUUUAGUGGCGUAUCGGGAAGUCGAAGUUUGCCAAGCGAGUCGUAACCCGACCCGUUGGAAGCAAAAAUUUUCUGAUCCGUCACAGUGGCAAAUCGGUUCCAAGAUUGUAAAUAUGAAAAAGGAUUUACAAAGUAA